GGGAGGGCUCCCCGGUGAGUUAGACGGGUAUAGGAGGGCUCCCCGGUGAGUUAGACUGGUAUAGGAGGGCUCCCCGGUGAGUUAGACGGGUAUGGGAGGGCUCCCCGGUGAGUUAGACGGGUAUGGGAGGGCUCCCCGGUGAGUUAGACGGGUAUAGGAGGGCUCCCCGGUG